UGUUCAAUGCUGUUAGUGCAGUGAACUGUUUGUUAGUAGUCCUCUCGGUUGUGUACUGGGACGUGACACCGACAGGAGAAAGCUGGAGUGCGGAGACACCAGCAGACAAGCGAAAAUAGUGACGAACAAAAUGCUGAAAUCUUGGUUGGGACAAAUCAGACGUUCAGCAUUUCCCCCAACCAAGGACCAUGCCGUUUGCUCUUUCCACUUCCUGAAGAUGAAUGUGAUGCUUCCUGGCGACUCUGCUAUCUCUCGUAACAUCUUCUGAAGCCAGCCUGCUGACAUCGCGCCGCAUGGAGUGGCUUGGGCAUGUUGUGCGAAUGCAUGAGGAGCGUGCCCCGCGUCAACUACUGUUUGGCACCCUACAUCCUGUCCGUCCAAUGUGCGGCCCGAGGAAAAGGUGGCGCGAUGCUGCGCGGAAGGAUCUGGCGGCGUUGGGCAUCGACGAAUGGUAUGACUUGGCCCAGGAUAGACGGGAAUGGCGGGCCGCUUGCAGUGUUCUGCCCCGCCCCAACCCGUUUGUGAGCCCCUGCGGAUACCUUGUGCCGAGUGUGGCCGUCUCUUCUCCAGGAGUGGUUUGCCUCGUCAUAAAUGCCUCGAUGAGCGCCGCAAACCUGUAUCAGAACAGAGAGGUAGCCGACAAUGUUCUUCCUGCGAGCGCUGGUUCCGCAGUGCCGGAGGUUUGGCGGUCCACAAGUGCCCCAACUCCCGGAUGCUCCCCGCGACAUCGUCUCGGGCUCCGUGCCGGGCGGCGGUGUCUACCAUUGCUGCUCAGGCGACUCCUCCGCCGUAGCGUGUGCGGCCCGCUCUCUCAUGCUGCAAGGCCCACUGUGGGGCCUGUGGCCGAUGCUGCCGCUCUACUCGUGGAUUCCAAAUCCAUAGCUGCCGGAGAUGGCUCUCUCGUCGUGCUGAUUGAACAUGGUUCCUGAUCUCUCGGCAGACUGCCGACUUUCUGCCGUCGCGCGUCGUUUUCCAUGUUGUCAGCCCCGCGAGGGGACACGUGACCGUAA